GGUUCAUAAGGCAAAGUGAUAAACCUGGUAAUGAACCAUUCCUGAGUGACAUGUCCCCAGGACUGGAUGGAUACACAGCUGAGUUCUAUAAGACCUUUAAAGAAGAACUCAUAUCAAUACUCUUCAACUUAUUUCAGAUUUUUCCUGGGAAGAGACUGGGCCUGUCUGAUUGCUGCUGUGAAAACUGGAGUCUCCUCUAACAUCUCAUAAGCACCUCACUCUGGAAAGAGAUGACUAUAGGUGGGAACCAAGACUGCAAUUUCAGUGGGAUGCUGAGCGACAGGCUGGAUGUGGACAAUGGAACUCUCAAAUCUUCAAUUUAUUUUGUCUGGCUAAUUUGUACGGCACUGCUCCAAGUGUAGAUGUCUUCCCCACACUCUCUGUAUGAGAAGAAAGAUGGUCCAAAUUUAGGUAUCCACGCUAGAAGAGACAGUGCAGCUCAUCAGUGCUCUCACAAUCAAACCUAAGAGCAACAGGCCUCCAGAGACUGCAGACAAAGAGACAGCAUCUCACUAAGUUCCUUAGGGAAGAAUGGAUAAUGUUUGGCUGGAAAUAAACUUCUCCAUGCAGUGUGCAUAUGAUAAUAAGUCAAAAGAAUGCUAUGUGAAGUUCUCCUCAGCCUUAGAGAUUCACAGAUAUUCAAGAGCACAGUGUCCAUGGUUUGCAGGUAUCACUUCUUUGAUCCUGGAGAUUUUUAAGUCUCUGGCUCCAUCCCAGCUGUCUCCUUGACCUCAUCUGUUUGUGGAGCCCGCUGCCCAGCAGGGAUAGCAGGAGUGGUCUUGAUGUUGAGAGGAAGGGUCCCUUCACCUAGGAUAUGGGUGCCUCAGAAGAGACUCCUCCCUUUUUAUUGCCCUACCUGUGUAAAUGUAACUAAGACUGUAAAUGGUGCUGUAUUGGUGUGUGGCUACUGGCCACAGGCUUUUAAAUAGACUCUAAGUGUUGAUGUUCUAGCACCCUGAAUGAUUCUAAGAUGAUUGAGUAAACAUCCUAAUUUUUAAAUAAUCAA